rnacentral:rRNA from 1 species
GAUGAACGCUAGCUACAGGCUUAACACAUGCAAGUCGAGGGGUAGCAGGGUAGCAAUACCGCUGACGACCGGCGCACGGGUGAGUAACACGUAUCCAGCCUUCCCAUAACUCGGGGAUAGCCUUUCGAAAGAAAGAUUAAUACCCGAUAGUACUUAACAAAGGCAUCUUUGAUAAGUUAAAGAUUUAUUGGUUAUGGAUGGGGAUGCGUUCCAUUAGAUAGUUGGUGAGGUAACGGCUCACCAAGUCUUCGAUGGAUAGGGGUUCUGAGAGGAAGGUCCCCCACAUUGGUACUGAGACACGGACCAAACUCCUACGGGAGGCAGCAGUGAGGAAUAUUGGUCAAUGGGCGAGAGCCUGAACCAGCCAAGUAGCGUGAAGGAUGAAGGUCCUAUGGAUUGUAAACUUCUUUUAUAGUAGAAUAAAGUGACCUACGUGUAGGUUUUUGUAUGUAUACUAUGAAUAAGGAUCGGCUAACUCCGUGCCAGCCGCCGCGGUAAAAC